UUGACGGGGCCGCACAAGCGGUGGAGCAUGUGGUUAAUUCGACGCAACGCGAAGAACCUUACCUGGGCUUGACAUCUGCGGAACCUCAUGGAAACAUGGGGGUGUCCAGCAAUGGAAGCCGCAAGACAGGUGCUGCAUGGCUGUCGUCAGCUCGUGUCGUGAGAUGUUGGGUUAAGUCCCGCAACGAGCGCAACCCUUGUCUCUAGUUGCCAUCAUUUAGUUGGGCCACUCUAGAGAGACUGCCGGUGAUAACCGGAGGAAGGUGGGGACGACGUCAAGUCCUCAUGGCCUUUAUGCCCAGGGCUACACACGUGCUACAAUGGGCCGUACAAAGGGUCGCGAACCCGCGAGGGGGAGCCAAUCCCAAAAACCGGUCCUCAGUUCGGAUUGGAGUCUGCAACCCGACUCCAUGAAGUUGGAAUCGCUAGUAAUCGCGGAUCAGCAUGCCGCGGUCGAAUACGUUCCCGGGCCUU
rnacentral:rRNA from 1 species